AGCGGGGAAGUAUAGCUUGCUAUACGACCUAGCGGCGGACGGGUGAGUAAUGCUUAGGAAUCUGCCUAUUAGUGGGGGACAACAUUCCGAAAGGAAUGCUAAUACCGCAUACGCCCUACGGGGGAAAGCAGGGGAUCUUCGGACCUUGCGCUAAUAGAUGAGCCUAAGUCAGAUUAGCUAGUUGGUGGGGUAAAGGCCUACCAAGGCGACGAUCUGUAGCGGGUCUGAGAGGAUGAUCCGCCACACUGGGACUGAGACACGGCCCAGACUCCUACGGGAGGCAGCAGUGGGGAAUAUUGGACAAUGGGCGAAAGCCUGAUCCAGCCAUGCCGCGUGUGUGAAGAAGGCCUUUUGGUUGUAAAGCACUUUAAGCGAGGAGGAGGCUACUUGGAUUAAUACUCUAGGAUAGUGGACGUUACUCGCAGAAUAAGCACCGGCUAACUCUGUGCCAGCAGCCGCGGUAAUACAGAGGGUGCGAGCGUUAAUCGGAUUUACUGGGCGUAAAGCGUGCGUAGGCGGCUUUUUAAGUCGGAUGUGAAAUCCCUGAGCUUAACUUAGGAAUUGCAUUCGAUACUGGGAAGCUAGAGUAUGGGAGAGGAUGGUAGAAUUCCAGGUGUAGCGGUGAAAUGCGUAGAGAUCUGGAGGAAUACCGAUGG
rnacentral:rRNA from 1 species